ACGGGUGAGUAACGCGUAGACAACCUACCUUCUAGAUGGGGACAACACCGCGAAAGUGGUGCUAAUACCGAAUGUUGUGCGGGGGCUGCAUAGCUUCCACACUAAAGGUGGCCUCUAUUUAUAAGCUACCGCUAGAAGACGGGUCUGCGUCUGAUUAGCUAGUAGGCGGGGUAAAAGCCCACCUAGGCGACGAUCAGUAGCCGGUCUGAGAGGAUGAACGGCCACACUGGGACUGAGACACGGCCCAGACUUCUACGGGAGGCAGCAGUGGGGAAUCUUCCGCAAUGGACGAAAGUCUGACGGAGCAACGCCGCGUGAGUGACGAAGGCCUUCGGGUUGUAAAGCUCUGUUGUCAGGGAAGAACACUUUGCUUGUGAAUAAUGAGCAGAGAUGACGGUACCUGACGAGGAAGCCACGGCUAACUACGUGCCAGCAGCCGCGGUAAUACGUAGGUGGCGAGCGUUGUCCGGAAUUAUUGGGCGUAAAGCGCGCGCAGGCGGGAAAGUAAGUCUACUCUAAAAGUGCGGGGCUCAACCCCGUGAUGGGGUGGAAACUGCUUUUCUUGAGUGCCGGAGAGGAAAGUGGAAUU
rnacentral:rRNA from 1 species